UGUUGCCAUUUUAGCCUAUUUAAGGCUAGAUCUAGCUUAUUUGAAAACGGAAAAGCUUGAAAAAUUAUGAAAAUGAUUAUAGCCUUAAAUCUAGCCUUUUUUAAUUUCACUCUGUUUAUGUUUGCCUUUUUAUAUCCUACAUAUAUUUUUAGGCAAAUCGAACAAAAAGUAUAUUUGUUGUACAUAUUUUGGUGUAUCAUGGUAUUUUAGAAUUCAUUUAUGGUAUAUUUUCGUUGAAAAGUUUCGGUCACUACUACACAGAAACUUGGCGAUCGUGUGAAAUGUGUAAUUGUGUAAAAUUGAGGUGCAAGGAUUUUAUAAAGGAGCUUAUUAUCCAACUCAGAGAAAGACUUCCAGAUAAUUUUGAGACAUUGGAAAAACUGCAUUUUUUUGCAGCAGAAAAUGUACUCGAACAUAAUAAAAAUCCUAAUGAUCUCAUUUCCAUAUUGGAACACUUCAACUAUAGCAAUAUAGAUGGAAUUCUUGCCCAAUAUGGCAAAAUUCACUUAUUCCCUUGGCAAAGUACAGAUGACACUAUAAAGCUUUGGUCAGAAGUACUGAAUUAUAAAGAUGCUGGCAAAAACAAACCUCUUGAAGAAAUCGCUUUAUUUGCCAUUGAAAUUUUAAGUCUACCGUGGUCAAAUGCUGCCAUUGAACGUGUAAUCAGUCAAAUAAAUAUCGUUAAGACCAAGCUUAGGAACAAAAUGACUGUUAAAUCCUUAAACUCAAUACUAAAUAUAAGAUAUGGAUUGCGCCGUCAUGGCAAAUGUUGCCACAACUAACAAUUACCGGAGAAAUAUUUAAAUUUAAUACGUUCCAGCGAUAAAUAUACCGAUUCGAGUAAUAGCGAGUUGGAUAAAAUAA